CAGCCCAAAGGCCGCCGGCUUCCUGGGCUCCAAGGACACUUCAGGGUGGCUCAUGGACGGACCUGCUGGCUGUGUGGAUGGCCUAGGGCGACGAGCUAACUGGGCACAGCUCGGAGUGACGGCUAAUUUUUGGCGGACACAACAUCUUUGUUUGUAUGUGGUGCUGAGGAUCGAUCCCGGGCCGCACGCAUGCCAGGCGAGCGCGCUACCACUUGAGCCACAUCCCCAGCCCUCCUUUGAUAAUUUAAAGUGAUUUCUAUUGCCAGAUUUUACAGAAUAAUCUAAAUGUACUCUUUUAUAAUAAAUAUCCUGCACAUACUUCUGGA